GAUGAACGCUAGCUACAGGCUUAACACAUGCAAGUCGAGGGGCAGCAUGCUGGUAGCUUGCUACCAGUGAUGGCGACCGGCGCACGGGUGAGUAACGCGUAUCCAACCUUCCCAUGACCAGGGAAUAACCUUGCGAAAGUAAGACUAAUGCCCUAUGGUUUCCUCAGCGGACAUCCAAAGAGGAAUAAAGAUUCAUCGGUGAUGGAUGGGGAUGCGUCUGAUUAGGUUGUUGGCGGGGUAACGGCCCACCAAGCCAUCGAUCAGUAGGGGUUCUGAGAGGAAGGUCCCCCACAUUGGAACUGAGACACGGUCCAAACUCCUACGGGAGGCAGCAGUGAGGAAUAUUGGUCAAUGGGCGAGAGCCUGAACCAGCCAAGUAGCGUGCAGGAUGACGGCCCUAUGGG
rnacentral:rRNA from 1 species